rfam:Arabis alpina cultivar Pajares chromosome 4, whole genome shotgun sequence.
GAGCUGUGAUGAUUAAAGCGCAUAUUGAUGAUUGGUUUCAUCACUAUCGUCUUUACAGACGAUACCAGUGCGCAUCUGAGCUC